rnacentral:rRNA from 1 species
GACGAACGCUGGCGGCGUGCUUAACACAUGCAAGUCGAACGGUGAAACGCCUUCCUUUUUGGUGUGUGUGGAUGAGUGGCGAAGGGGUUAAUAACACGUUAGUAACCUUCCCCCUUCUUCUGGAUAACCGCAUGAAGGUGUGGCUAAUACGGGAUAUUCUGGGUCUCUCGCAUGAUGGGUCUGGGAAAGUUAUUGUUUCGGUUGGGGAUGGGCGCGCGCCUUAUCAGCUUGUUGGUGAGGUGAUGGCCUACCAAGGCGGUGACGCGUAGCCGUCAGGAGAGGUGGGACGGUCCUGGGGUGAAGACGAGACGCACAAGACUACUAGGGGAGGCAGAAGGGGGGAUUACUGAACAAGGGGCGCAAGGCUGAAGCAGCGACGCCGCGUGAGUGAUGGUCGCCUGCGGGUUGUGAACCUCUUUCGCGAGUGAAGCAAGGUUGCCUCGUCUGUGGGUGGGUUGACGGUAGCUGGUCAAGAAGCGCCGGCUAACUACGUG